UACGUAGGUGGCAAGCGUUGUCCGGAAUUACUGGGUGUAAAGGGUGCGCAGGCGGGACUGCAAGUUGGAUGUGAAAACUAUGGGCUCAACCCAUAGCCUGCAUCCAAAACUGUGGUUCUUGAGUGAAGUAGAGGUAGGCGGAAUUCCGAGUGUAGCGGUGAAAUGCGUAGAUAUUCGGAGGAACACCAGUGGCGAAGGCGGCCUACUGGGCUUUAACUGACGCUGAGGCACGAAAGCAUGGGGAGCAAACAGGAUUAGAUACCCUGGUAGUCCAUGCUGUAAACGAUGAUUGCUAGGUGUGGGGGGACUGACCCCUUCCGUGCCGGAGUAAACACAAUAAGCAAUCCACCUGGGGAGUACGGCCGCAAGGUUGAA
rnacentral:rRNA from 1 species